UAAGCAUAUUCUGUCAGGAUUAACAUUAUCACAAGACCACAACCACAUCUACUUUAAGACCUGUACCAUAGUUAUGUUAACCUUUUAUUACUGUAUUUUUUAUGCUGUGAUCUAAGUGUUUAUUUAGGUUAACACAAAAACAUAGCUUAGGAACACACCUUUGACAGU